rnacentral:rRNA from 1 species
AAUCAACGCUGGCGGCGUGCCUCAGACAUGCAAGUCGAACGAUUAAAGCUCUCUUCGGAGAGUGUAUAGAGUGGCGCACGGGUGAGUAACACGUAAGUAAUCUACCUUCGAGUGGGAUACCGUCCGGAAACGGACGCUAAUACCGCAUAAUGCAGCGGCAUCGUAAGAUGACAGUUGUUAAAGAUUUAUCGCUUGAAGAGGAGCUUGCGGCAGAUUAGCUAGUUGGUAAGGUAAUGGCUUACCAAGGCUACGAUCUGUAACCGGUCUUAGAGGACGGUCGGUCACACUGACACUGAAUAACGGGUCAGACUCCUACGGGAGGCAGCAGUCGGGAAUUUGGGUCAAUGGGCGAAAGCCUGACCCAGCAACGCCGCGUGAAGGA